UUAGAGAUGCAGCCUCUGAAAAGGGU
rnacentral:piRNA from 1 species